rnacentral:rRNA from 1 species
CUUCGGGUUGUAAGCACUUUAGUUGGGAGGAAAAGCUGAGGGUUAAUAGCCUUUAGUGUUGACGUUACCAACAGAAUAAGCACCGGCUAACUCCGUGCCAGCAGCCGCGGUAAUACGGAGGGUGCAAGCGUUAAUCGGAAUUACUGGGCGUAAAGCGCGCGUAGGCGGUUUGUUAAGUCAGAUGUGAAAUCCCCGGGCUCAACCUGGGAAUGGCAUUUGAGACUGGCAGGCUAGAGUAUGGUAGAGGUGAGUGGAAUUUCAGGUGUAGCGGUGAAAUGCGUAGAGAUCUGAAGGAACAUCAGUGGCGAAGGCGACUCACUGGGCCAUUACUGACGCUGAGGUGCGAAAGCGUGGGUAGCAAACAGGAUUAGAUACCCUGGUAGUCCACGCCCUAAACGAUGUCAACUAGGUGUAUGGAGAAUUUAUUCUUUGUGUAUCGAAGCUAACGCGAUAAGUUGACCGCCUGGGGAGUACGGUCGCAAGACUAAAACU